UACAGAGGGUGCGAGCGUUGUCCGGAAUCACUGGGCGUAAAGGGCGCGUAGGCGGCCUGAUAAGUAGGGGGUGAAAUCCUGUGGCUUAACUGCAGGGCUGCCUCCUAGACUGUUAGGCUCGAGCACGGUAGAGGCAGAUGGAAUUCCCGGUGUAGCGGUGGAAUGCGUAGAGAUCGGGAAGAACACCAGUGGCGAAGGCGGUUGCCUGGAGCUUUGCUGACGCUGAGGCGCGAAAGCGUGGGGAGCGAUCCGG
rnacentral:rRNA from 1 species